CAAACCAAACCGAGCCUAAAAAAAUAUAGCCCAGCCUACUAAUCUCUUGUCAGAUUCACUCACUCACAGCCCCUCGUCGUCUCCCUCACUGGUUGCGGCGUCUUGCCCUCACCCAAGACCCAACCACUCCUCAGUACUCACACACACUGCCCCCCGGUUCUUUGGGUGCCGCCGCUCGCGUCCGCUCCGCCGUGCUCUGCCUCGCUCGCUCGUCUUCCUUGUCGUCAGUCCUCUUCCCUUCGCCCUCUAAACCCAACUCCCUCCAUAACUGCCGUGCUUACAUCCGUAAAACGAAUUAUGCUUUUUUAUCUUCCUCCGGAGUUGAUGUAAAAGCUACGAGUUUACUACCUUGGCAGUUUGGCAAUUGUGUAAGCGACAUAUGAAGGUUUUAAAGUUUGGUGAAUCUGAGAGAGCAAUGACAUACCUGCUUUAUCCACCACUGAUAUUACCAUGCCCAUGUGGAUGGCGGAAUCACAUCCUUGCACCACCAAGCUCAACCGCAACAAUAAUGAACCCUGUUCAGAGGCGUGGUCUUAGUGGAAGUGUGCAGCCAGGGCAGGAUUUUGUUGGUAGGAGUAGGAGUAGGAGCGUGAGGUGCAUGGCCAAUCCUAGGAGAGUGAAGAUGGUGGCGAAGCAGAUUCAGAGGGAGCUUUCUGAUAUGCUCCUCACAGACAAAGUCUUGCAGUUUGCGGUUCUUCCAGAAGCUUCCUUGGGCGCUGACCGCUACCUCUCAUCUCUGACCACCAUAAGUGAUGUUGAAGUCUCUUCCGACUUGCAGGUGGUUAAGGUGUAUGUGUCCGUUUUUGGAGAUGAAAGAGGGAAGGAAGUUGCCAUGGCUGGAUUGAAGUCUAAGGCCAAAUACGUCCGCAGUGUGCUGGGCAGGCGUAUGAAGCUUCGCUUGACUCCUGAGAUACGCUUUAUAGAGGAUGAGUCUUUUGAGAGAGGAAGCAGGGUGAUUGCAAUAUUAGAUAAAAUAAAAAAUGAGAAAAGUUUGGAGAAUCAAAACGGGGAGCUCUCGGAUUCAUCUGCACAUGAUGAUGAUAAUUGGGAUGAUGUAGAUCCUGAUGAAGGUAUCAUUUACGUGGACUAGCUGCCUCUCACGGUGCGUCAUUAUUUUAGCUGUUGAUAGACAAAGCAUUCAGAGUUGAUAGGGAAAGUUGGCUAUAGAGUGGGGCUAUAAGUUUGGUAGAGAUUGAUGCCAUGCCAUUACCCGAUCAUGAAGCCAACCCAAUGUCAACACAGUUGCCCACCCUCGCUAAGAAUCAUAUCGUAAGAUUUUCUCUCCUUAUGUAACUGUUACCCAGGUUUGGGAUGUCAGUAUACAAAUAGUUUUCCUUAGGUAAGUGGAAACUGGAAAUGAUAACAUUUGCAUUUCCCAAGAACUUUAUGGUUAAUAUUGCUGUCCGGAUUUAGGUGUCAAGCAAUAUUGCAUGUAAAUUGUAAUUCUAGAGUUUAUUUGGUUGUGAUUUGGUCUUGA